UAAAGAGGGUGCGAGCGUUUUCCGGAAUCACUGGGCGUAAAGGGCGCGUAGGCGGCUUUUCGAGCGUGCGGUGAAAGCUCGGGGCUUAACUCCGAGUCUGCCGUGCGAACUGGGAGGCUUGAGUCUGGUAGAGGUCGAUGGAAUUCCGGGUGUAGCGGUGGAAUGCGUAGAGAUCCGGAAGAACACCGUUGGCGAAGGCGGUCGACUGGGCCAGUACUGACGCUGAGGCGCGCCAGCGUUGGGAGCAAACAGG
rnacentral:rRNA from 1 species